rnacentral:lncRNA from 1 species
AGUCGUCCUCUACACAAAAACAAACUACAAUGCAAAAAGUCCAGAUGUGAAUGGGAUAAACUUGAAUACACCACGAAUUACUAACUAGAAUUACACACACCAAAGGACAUGAAGGACGACUAAGAGCUGUGCCUAUGGCUGAACACAAACAAACAAAGAGACUGAGAGCUGUACCAAAAACUGAACACAAACUCGCAAGGUAAUUCGUUGGCUCGUUGCUUUUCCUUUGCUGUACUUUAAAUAAUUUGUUUUGACAGCUCGGCAGGUAAAAUGUAAUCGGGUCUGAAGGCUGCCAACAUUUUACAUGCUGCACUAUUAUAUGUGUAAAACACUCCAACGACACACAUUCUCUGUGUACUUAUAUUCAUUCAAUUAAACAAACAUUUAUACUCUCACUCUCGAUGGAGAAACACUCGUACGUCAAUAUUCAUCUGUAUCUGUAUCUGAAUCUGAAUCUGAAUCGUUCUCAAUCAAGCAUCAACUAAAACAUGCUAAUUGGGGGGUAAGUCAUCCGGACCCUCUUUAUUCAUCCUGCAUAUCCUCGGGUAAUUCGUGAGGAUUCAACAUGCCUGGAAUAUUCCGCUGCAUCUGAUGCUUAUUGGACUGCUCCGCGGCCAGGGCUGCCUCGCGCUCCUUCAGACCUCCUAUAACAAACAACAGCAACAAAUUUAUUAAUCAAAAAAUCCACAGAGGCAUCCUUUGUGGCACUCACGCGAAUCUGUAUGCUGGCACACUCUCGUCCAAAUUGAACAGGCCAGUGACACUCUGGAUGAUUGAAGGCCGACUUCAGCAGCGAUGCGACUUACUCCUGUGUAAAUAUCAUAUCAAUAUCGAGCCUAAACUGCACACAAAAGGUAAGAGCCAAACAAAAUGUAUUCUCUUUUUAUUUUGUACUUCAUUGAAUUUCCUUUGACAGACUUCAAAUUUGUUUGUGCACGAAAAAUCAGCUUCCACAUCUGCCUCGAAAUCGGAACGAAUGCGCCCUGCGAUUUCGAGUGCAGCUAAAUAUUUACACCUGAAGAUGAAUACAU